rnacentral:rRNA from 1 species
CCUACGGGUGGCAGCAGUGAGGGAUAUUGGUCAAUGGGGGCAACCCUGAACCAGCAACGCCGCGUGAGGGAAGACGGCUUUCGGGUUUUAAACCUCUUUCCUCUGGGGAGAUGAUGACGCUAGCUGUGGAGGAAGCGCCAGCUAACUACGUGCCAGCAUCGGCGGUAAUACGGAGGGAGGGCGCGUUGUCCGGAUUUACUGGGUGUAAAGGGGGCGUUGGCGGGUUUGAAAGGCAGUAGUGAAAUCCGUGGGCUUAACCCAUGAACUGCAAUUGAAACUGUCGGGCUUGAGUGGAGGAGAGGUAGGCGGAAUGCGUGGUGUAGCGGUGAAAUGCGUAGAGAUCAGGAAGAACACCGGUGGCGAAGGCGGCAUACCGGACUUCAACUGACGCUGAGGCACGAAAGCGUGGGUAGCGAACAGGAUUAGAUACCCUUGUAGUC